rnacentral:rRNA from 1 species
CCUAAGGUAGCGAAAUUCCUUGUCGGGUAAGUUCCGACCCGCACGAAAGGCGUAAUGAUUUGGGCACUGUCUCAACAAUGCACCCGGUGAAAUUGAAAUACCAGUGAAGAUGCUGGUUACCUGCGCCAGGACGGAAAGACCCCAUGGAGCUUUACUCCAGCUUGAUACUGGGAUUCGAUAUUGCAUGUACAGGAUAGGUGGGAGACUUUGAACUCAUGACGCCAGUCGUGAGGGAGUCACUGUUGGGAUACCACCCUUGUAGUAUUGGAUUUCUAACCAGCAGCCGUGAACCGGCUGGGGGACAAUGUCAGGUGGGGAGUUUGACUGGGGCGGUCGCCUCCGAAAGGGUAUCGGAGGCGCUCAAAGGUUCCCUCAGAAUGGUUGGAAACCAUUCGAAGAGUGCAAAGGCAGAAGGGAGCUUGACUGCGACACCGACGGGUGGAGCAGGUACGAAAGUAGGACUUAGUGAUCCGGUGGUAUAAAGUGGGAUUGCCAUCGCUCAACGGAUAAAAGCUACCCUGGGGAUAACAGGCUUAUCACUCCCAAGAGUUCACAUCGACGGAGUGGUUUGGCACCUCGAUGUCGGCUCAUCGCAUCCUGGGGCUGAAGUAGGUCCCAAGGGUUGGGCUGUUCGCCCAUUAAAGCGGUACGCGAGCUGGGUUCAGAACGUCGUGAGACAGUUCGGUCCCUAUCCGGCGUGGGCGUAGGAUAUUUGAGAGGAGCUGCCCUUAGUACGAGAGGACCGGGGUGGACUGGCCGCUGGUGGAUCUGUUGUAUUACCAAAUGCAUAGCAGAGUAGCCAAGCCGGGACGGGAUAAACGCUGAAGGCAUCUAAGCGUGAAGCCCCCCUCAAGAUGAGAUAUCCCAUAACGUCAAGUUAGUAAGACCCCUUGAAGACGACGAGGUAGAUAGGGCAGAGGUGGAAGUGCGGUAACGCAUGGAGCUGACUGUUACUAAUAGGUCGAGGGCAUAACCAA